rnacentral:tRNA from 1 species
AGCACCGUGGCUUAGUUGGUGAAAGCAUCGGCGUAUAUAGCUGAAGGUCGCUGAUUCAAAUCCAGCUUUUGCAG